GGGCUCGUUCACUCGAAUUGGUUCGACUGGCACUAAUUCGAGUCAACAGGGUCGUU
rnacentral:pre_miRNA from 1 species